rfam:Euryarchaeota archaeon RBG_16_67_27 RBG_16_scaffold_912, whole genome shotgun sequence.
GGGCCUGUAGCUUAGCUAGGUAGAGCGAUCGGCUCUUAUCGGCGCGUCCGCGCGACGUCCGGGAGGGACCGAUAGGUCAAGGGUUCGAAUCCCUUCAGGCCCG